rnacentral:rRNA from 1 species
GACGAACGCUGGCGGCGUGCCUAACACAUGCAAGUCGAACGGAGAUACGAUUUCGGUUGUAUCUUAGUGGCGAACGGGUGAGUAACGCGUGAGCAACCUGACCUUUAGAGGGGGAUAACACUUGGAAACAGGUGCUAAUACCGCAUAAGACCACGCUGUGGCAUCACAGAGAGGUCAAAGGAGCAAUCCGCUGAAGGAGGGGCUCGCGUCCCAUUAGAUAGAUGGCGGGGUAACGGCCCACCAUGUCGACGAUGGGUAGCCGAGCUGAGAGGCUGAUCGGCCACACUGGAACUGAGACACGGUCCAGACUCCUACGGGAGGCAGCAGUGGGGAAUAUUGCACAAUGGGCGAAAGCCUGAUGCAGCAACGCCGCGUGAGGGAUGACGGCCUUCGGGUUGUAAACCUCUUUUAGCAAGGAAGAAGCGAAAGUGACGGUACUUGCAGAAAAAGCGCCGGCUAACUACGUGCCAGCAGCCGCCGUAAGAC